AUGCUUGCUAAGUACGAUGUCAAUCAUAGAAUUGCAUCUCCUUAUCACCCGCAGUCUAGUGGUCAAGUAGAGUUGAGCAAUAGAGAGCUCAAAUUAAUUUUUCAAAAGACUGUGAAUAGAUCUAGAAAGAAUUGGUCCAAAAAACUUGAUGAUGCAUUAUGGGCCUAUAGAACUGCUUACAAAAAUCCUAUGGGUAUGUCUCCAUAUAAGAUGGUUUAUAGAAAAGCAUGUCAUUUACCUCUUGAACUUGAACAUAAAGCAUAUUGGGCUAUUAAAGAGCUCAAUUAUGACUUCAAACUUGCCGGUGAGAAGAGGUUGUUUGAUAUUAGCUCACUUGGUGAAUGGAGAGCCCAAGCUUAUGAGAAUGCCAAGCUCUUCAAAGAAAAAGUCAAACGCUGGCAUGAUAAAAGGAUACACAAGCGUGAGUUUAACGUAGGAGAUUAUGUGUUAUUAUUCAACUCUCGUUUAAGAUUUUUUGCAGGAAAAAUUCUCUGA
rnacentral:rRNA from 1 species